AACGAACGCUGGCGGCAUGCCUAACACAUGCAAGUCGAACGAGACCUUCGGGUCUAGUGGCGCACGGGUGCGUAACGCGUGGGAACCUGCCCUUAGGUUCGGAAUAACUCCCCGAAAGGGGUGCUAAUACCGGAUAAUGUCUUCGGACCAAAGAUUUAUCGCCUUUGGAUGGGCCCGCGUUGGAUUAGCUAGUUGGUAGGGUAAAAGCCUACCAAGGCGACGAUCCAUAGCUGGUCUGAGAGGAUGAUCAGCCACACUGGGACUGAGACACGGCCCAGACUCCUACGGGAAGCAGCAGUGGGGAAUAUUGGACAAUGGGCGAAAGCCUGAUCCAGCAGUGCCGCGUGAGUGAUGAAGGCCUUAGGGUUGUAAAGCUCUUUUACCCGGGAUGAUAAUGACAGUACCGGUAGAAUAAGCUCCGGCUAACUCCGUG
rnacentral:rRNA from 1 species